CACCGGCAGCUCGAGUGGUAGCCGCGUUUAUUGGGCCUAAAGCGUCCGUAGCCGGUCCGAUAAGUCUCUGGUGAAAGCCCAUAGCUCAACUGUGGGAAUCGCUGGAGAUACUAUCGGACUUGAGGCCGGGAGAGGCUGGAGGUACUCCCAGGGUAGGGGUGAAAUCCUAUAAUCCUGGGAGGACCACCUGUGGCGAAGGCGUCCAGCUGGAACGGACCUGACGGUGAGGGACGAAAGCCAGGGGCGCGAACCGG
rnacentral:rRNA from 1 species